GAUGAACGCUGGCGGCGUGCUUAACACAUGCAAGUCGAACGAAGCACUUUAUUGGAUUUCCUCGGAAUGAAGAUUUUGUGACUGAGUGGCGGACGGGUGAGUAACGCGUGGGUAACCUGCCUCAUACAGGGGGAUAACAGUUGGAAACGACUGCUAAUACCGCAUAAGCGCACAGUAUCGCAUGAUGCAGUGUGAAAAACUCCGGUGGUAUGAGAUGGACCCGCGUCUGAUUAGCCGGUUGGUGGGGUAACGGCCUACCAAAGCAACGAUCAGUAGCCGACCUGAGAGGGUGAUCGGCCACAUUGGGACUGAGACACGGGCCCAAAUCCUACGGGAGCAGCAGUGGGGAAUAUUGCACAAUGGGGGAAACCCUGAUGCAGCGACGCCGCGUGAGCGAAGAGUAUUUCGGAUGUAAAGCUC
rnacentral:rRNA from 1 species